AUGUUAAAUUCUAAAAGUAGAUGUUUUGUUUACUUGUUUCAGAUGUUUGAAGCCAGCAGUUGCUAUAGUAGAAAUGCAAACCCCUACAUCCACCCAAUGCUUUACAAAGUGAAUGAUUGUUGGGAGACUUACAAAAUAGUUGUUUUGAGUGGCCAGCCUAGUCGAGUUAUUUGCAAGGAACAGAUUGGUUGCUGCAGGAAUGAACAGCUCCUCUUCCUUUGCACAACUGAAGAAGCUGCCCAUCUGGUCAUGUUCUCAGUCCUGUCAAAUCAAGCAACCCAGACAACUCUACUACUCCCUACAAGAGGGACUGCAUUCCCUUACAAAGCUUGGGAGGAGCAACAUCCCUGUAUGCAGCCAACAUGUACAGCAAGGAAAAUUAAUGGAGAAAGGUGCUGAUGGGAACAAUG
rnacentral:lncRNA from 1 species